UAAUACCGGAUAGAUCAAAGAUACUGGAAUGUUCCUUGAUCCAAAGCUCCGGCGUCCAAGGAUGGAUCUGCGGCCUAUCAGGUAGUAGUGGGUGUAACGUACCUACUAGCCUACGACGGGUACGGGUUGUGAGAGCAAGAGCCCGGAGAUGGAUUCUGAGACAUGAAUCCAGGCCCUACGGGGCGCAGCAGGCGCGAAAUCUUUAUAAUGCAGGAAACUGCGAUAAGGGGACCCCGAGUGCCAGCAUCUAAUGCUGGCUGUCCAGCUGUGUAAAUAGCAGUUGUUAGCAAGGGCCGGGCAAGACCGGUGCCAGCCGCCGCGGUAACACCGGCGGCCCGAGUGGUAACCGAUUUUAUUGGGUUUAAAGGGUCCGUAGCCGGCCUGUUAAGUCUCUUGGGAAAUCUGGCGGCUCAAUCGUCAGGCGUUC
rnacentral:rRNA from 1 species